GGCGGCCGUUGCUUGUUAUCCUCAAGAACAGACUGUUUCGGUAUUUGAGAGUCCUUGCCUUGGUGAGAUGGCUUUCUUUGAUGUUGCCUCGACUUCUUCGCUCAUUUCUGGUUGGGACUUGGGAUCUUCUCUGGUGGUGUGCGGGGAACCAUAUUCUUGCGUUGUAAAUAGACAUGGGAAGAUUUUUGUCUGGAAUGCGUGCUGCGUCCUGCGUUGGCUCUUGGAUGUAGCUGCAGCUGACCAUGACGACGGCGACGACUUAUCACUAGUUUUAUUAAAGCAACGCCUUGCGUUAUGACUGUAUAUCCAACGAGAAUUCGAAGAUCUGAAUUUGGUUGCACAGACGUUGUGCACAUCCUUUGAUUCUAAGAGCUCUUAAUUGUUACCCUGGUAACUAGAAAUGAACUUGCAAGAAGUAGUGCGCAACCUACUAUUCUAAUUGUGUAAUCUGUCGUACUUCAGUAAGUGUUAUUUACGUGUAUGAAGACCAGCGUAAUAUAGUAUGUAUUUAUAAAA